rnacentral:rRNA from 1 species
UACGUAGGGUGCGAGCGUUGUCCGGAAUUAUUGGGCGUAAAGGGCUCGUAGGCGGUUUGUCGCGUCGGGAGUGAAAACCUUGGGCUUAACUCAGGGCUUGCUUUCGAUACGGGCAGACUAGAGGUAUGCAGGGGAGAACGGAAUUCCUGGUGUAGCGGUGAGAUGCGCAGAUAUCAGGAGGAACACCGGUGGCGAAGGCGGUUCUCUGGGCAUGAUCUGACGCUGAGGAGCGAAAGUGUGGGGAGCGAACAGG